rnacentral:lncRNA from 1 species
AGUACAACCAUGAACAUAACUUACAUAUAGGAGCAUUGUGGUCGACACGACCGUAGUCAUAGAUCGUGCCAUGGUUCGACAAGCCGUAAAUGUGCUAUUGAUUUGUUAAACCACAAAUCGCUGAAAUAAUACGAAAUAAAUUGGUCAUUCCACAUGCGUAGUCAAAAAUCCAUAUUGCUCUCAGUAGAUAAAAGUCAUAAUGACUUCCGUGAAGAAUAAAAUAAAAAGCAU